rnacentral:rRNA from 1 species
GUCCUCUAGUUGAGAUUUGGAGGUCUGGCCUGCCCAGUGAUUUAUUUAACGGCCGCGGUAUUUUGACCGUGCAAAGGUAGCAUAAUAAUUAGUCUUUUAAUUGAUGGCUUGUAUGAAAGGUUGGACGAGGGAAUAACUGUCUCGGUUGAAUAAUUAUGAAUUUUACUUUUUGGUGAAAAGGCCUAAAUUUAUUAUGGGGACGAUAAGACCCUAUAGAUCUUUAUUUAUUUUUAAAGGUAUAAUUUUUGGUUGUUGGUAGUUGUAUGUUUAGGAAGAAAUUUUGCUGGGGCGGCAGGGAGAUUUAAUUAACUCUUUUAUUUUAUUAUUCAUUUACUUAUGUGAUGUUGAUCCAUUUAUUUUGAUUUUAGGAUUAAGAUACCUUAGGGAUAACAGCGUAAUCUUCUUUGAGAGUUCUUAUCGACGAGGGGGGUUGCGACCUCGAUGUUGGAUUAGGAUUUAAUUUAAGGUGUAGAAGCUUUAAUGUUAUGAGUCUGUUCGACUAUUAGAAUCCUACA